CAGAAUGUCAGUUCACCUUUGAGAAGGCUAUAGAGUACGUACCAUUCGAAGCUGCUAACUUGUGCCAAACCUCCACUGCUGCUACUACGCCUGUGACUCUUACUACUCCAUUCAAUAUAACGUCCUCUGUGGCUUCUGGGACUAUCACAAACCCAGUCACAGUGGCAGCUGCAAUGAGCAUGAGAAGUCCAGUAAACGUAUCAAGUGCAGUUAAUAUAUCCAGUCCGAUGAACCUAGGGCAUCCUGUAACUAUAACAAGUCCAUUAUCCAUGACAUCUCCAUUAACGCUCACCACACCAGUCAAUUUACCCACCCCAGUAACCGCUCCAGUGAAUAUAGCGCAUCCAGUCACUAUAACGUCUCCCAUGAACCUCCCCACCCCGAUGACGUUAGCUGGUCCCCUAAAUAUAGCGAUGAGACCGGUAGAGAGCAUGCCUUUCCUGCCCCAGGCCUUGCCCACGUCUCCUCCCUGGUAAAGAGUUUCUAAACAGUAUUAAAAAGGAUUAAAAUGGAA